AUGCACGCUGGCGGCGUGCCUCAUCCCUGCCAGUCGAGCGAACAGAUGAGGAGCUUGCUCCUCUGACGUUAGCGGCGGACGGGUGAGUAACACGUGGCUAACCUACCUAUAAGUCUGGGAUAACUUCGGGAAACCGGAGCUAAUACCGGAUAAUAUAUUGAACCGCAUGGGUCAAUAGUGAAAGACGGUUUUGCUGUCACUUAUAGAUGGAUCCGCGCCGCAUUAGCUAGUUGGUAAGGUAACGGCUUACCAAGGCAACGAUGCGUAGCCGACCUGAGAGGGUGAUCGGCCACACUGGAACUGAGACACGGUCCAGACUCCUACGGGAGGCAGCAGUAGGGAAUCUUCCGCAAUGGGCGAAAGCCUGACGGAGCAACGCCGCGUGAGUGAUGAAGGUCUUCGGAUCGUAAAACUCUGUUAUUAGGGAAGAACAAAUGUGUAAGUAACUAUGCACGUCUUGACGGUACCUAAUCAGAAAGCCACGGCUAACUACGUG
rnacentral:rRNA from 1 species